GGCGGACGGGUUAGUAACACGUGAGAACCUACCCUUUAGACAGGAAUAGCCCAUGGAAACGUGGAUUAAUGCCUGAUAGUCUCUACGGAGUAAAUGGUGCCUCCGGGUAUCGCUAGAGGAUGGGCUCGCGGCCUAUCAGCUUGUUGGUGAGGUAAAGGCUCACCAAGGCGACGACGGGUAGCUGGUCUGAGAGGACGAUCAGCAACACUGGAACUGAGACACGGUCCAGACACCUACGGGUGGCAGCAGUCGAGAAUCAUUCACAAUGGAGGCAACUCUGAUGGUGCAACGCCGCGUGGAGGAUGACGGUCCUAGGAUUGUAAACUCCUGUCAUUGGGGAGUAAGACUUAAGCGUUAAGAGCGUUUAAGUUUGAUAGUAC
rnacentral:rRNA from 1 species